AGAGUUUGAUCCUGGCUCAGGAUAAACGCUGGCGGCGUGCCUAAUACAUGUAAGUCGAACGAGGGGACCUAGUAGUAAUACGAAGUCUCCUAGUGGCGAAUGGGUGAGUAACGCGUUGGUGACCCACCCCGAAGAGGAGGAUAACUCCGGGAAACUGGAGCUAAUACCCCAUGUGGUCAUGCGGGUUAGAGGCCGUAUGUCUAAAAGAGUAAUCUGCUUUGGGAGGGACCUGCGUCCCAUCAGCUAGUUGGUAGGGUAAUGGCCUACCAAGGCGACGACGGGUAGGGGGCCUGAGAGGGUGGCCCCCCACACUGGCACUGAAACACGGGCCAGACACCUACGGGUGGCAGCAGUAGGGAAUAUUGCACAAUGGGCGAAAGCCUGAUGCAGCAACGCCGCGUGCGCGAUGAAGGCCUUCGGGUUGUAAAGCGCUUUUCUGGAGGACGAGUAAGGACGGUACUUCAGGAAUAAGGAUCGGCUAACUACGUGCCAGCAGCCGCGGUAAUACGUAGGAUCCGAGCGUUAUCCGAAUUUACUGGGCGUAAAGCGCGUGCAGGCGGUUUGGCAAGUUGGAUGUGAAAGCUCCUGGCUCAACUGGGAGAGGCCGUUCAAGACUGCCAGACUAGAGGGCGACAGAGGGAGGUGGAAUUCCCGGUGUAGUAGUGAAAUGCGUAGAUAUCGGGAGGAACACCAGUGGCGAAGGCGGCCUCCUGGGUCGUUCCUGACGCUCAGACGCGAAAGCUAGGGGAGCGAACGGGAUUAGAAACCCCGGUAGUCCUAGCUGUAAACGAUGUGGACUUGGUGUUGGUGGGGUAAAAUCCAUCGGCGCCGUAGCUAACGCGUUAAGUCCACCGCCUGGGGACUACGGCCGCAAGGUUAAAACUCAAAGGAAUUGACGG
rnacentral:rRNA from 1 species